rnacentral:rRNA from 1 species
CCUACGGGUGGCAGCAGUGAGGAAUAUUGGUCAAUGGACGAGAGUCUGAACCAGCCAAGUAGCGUGAAGGAUGACUGCCCUAUGGGUUGUAAACUUCUUUUAUAAAGGAAUAAAACGAGGCACGUGUGCCUUUUUGCAUGUACUUUAUGAAUAAGGAUCGGCUAACUCCGUGCCAGCAGCCGCGGUAAUACGGAGGAUCCGAGCGUUAUCCGGAUUUAUUGGGUUUAAAGGGAGCGUAGAUGGGUUGUUAAGUCAGUUGUGAAAGUUUGCGGCUCAACCGUAAAAUUGCAAUUGAUACUGGCAGUCGUGAGUACAGUGGAGGUAGGCGGAAUUCGUGGUGUAGCGGUGAAAUGCUUAGAUAUCACGAAGAACCCCGAUUGCGAAGGCAGCUUACUAAACUGUGACUGACAUUGAUGCUCGAAAGUGUGGGUAUCAAACAGGAUUAGAUACCCCUGUAGUC